GGGUUGUGAGGUUAAGCGACUAAGCGUACACGGUGGAUGCCCUGGCAGUCAGAGGCGAUGAAGGACGUGCUAAUCUGCGAUAAGCGUCGGUAAGGUGAUAUGAACCGUUAUAACCGGCGAUUUCCGAAUGGGGAAACCCAGUGUGAUUCGUCACACUAUCAUUAACUGAAUCCAUAGGUUAAUGAGGCGAACCGGGGGAACUGAAACAUCUAAGUACCCCGAGGAAAAGAAAUCAACCGAGAUUCCCCCAGUAGCGGCGAGCGAACGGGGAGCAGCCCAGAGCCUGAAUCAGUGUGUGUGUUAGUGGAAGCGUCUGGAAAGGCGUGCGAUACAGGGUGACAGCCCCGUACACAAAAAUGCACAUGCUGUGAGCUCGAUGAGUAGGGCGGGACACGUGGUAUCCUGUCUGAAUAUGGGGGGACCAUCCUCCAAGGCUAAAUACUCCUGACUGACCGAUAGUGAACCAGUACCGUGAGGGAAAGGCGAAAAGAACCCCGGCGAGGGGAGUGAAAAAGAACCUGAAACCGUGUACGUACAAGCAGUGGGAGCACGCUUAGGCGUGUGACUGCGUACCUUUUGUAUAAUGGGUCAGCGACUUAUAUUCUGUAGCAAGGUUAACCGAAUAGGGGAGCCGAAGGGAAACCGAGUCUUAACUGGGCGUUAAGUUGCAGGGUAUAGACCCGAAACCCGGUGAUCUAGCCAUGGGCAGGUUGAAGGUUGGGUAACACUAACUGGAGGACCGAACCGACUAAUGUUGAAAAAUUAGCGGAUGACUUGUGGCUGGGGGUGAAAGGCCAAUCAAACCGGGAGAUAGCUGGUUCUCCCCGAAAGCUAUUUAGGUAGCGCCUCGUGAAUUCAUCUCCGGGGGUAG
rnacentral:rRNA from 1 species